rnacentral:lncRNA from 1 species
AAGUAACACAGUGACAGCAGUCGUGGUGCCUCCGAAUAUAGACAGUACGGAGAUUGUGAAAAGGGCAUGGAAGAGAUACAACCUAAGUCUUGGUCUUGGUCUCAACAAAGUGGCUGGAAAGGUUUUCAGAAUUGGUCACCUUGGAAACCUUAAUGAGGUACGUUUCUGUAUUUGUAAUCCAACUAUUUAAUUAAUUAAAUUUUAAUCAACAUUACAACAUAAAACGCAGUUGCAACUUCUUGGGUGUUUGGCUGGAGUGGAGAUGAUACUAAAGGAUGUUGGGUACCCAGUUGUUUUGGGAAGUGGAGUUGCAGCUGCUUCUACUUAUCUUCAGCACCACAUUCCUCUCAUUCCCUCUAGGAUCUAAAUCACAUCCCCAUUUCUCUGUUCUCUCUCUCUCUCUCUCUUUCUCUCUCAAUGUAAAAUCACUCUACUAUUUUCUCUUUUCUCCAAUUAUAUUUUACUACAUUAUCUAUGUUUUUAUGUGCUAUUCUCAACAAACUCAUUAAACAAAAGGUCAAAAUUAUUUAUUUCUCUCACACAUUAGUUUUUCUCACCAAGAAUCACUUUUAUUGGUACAAUGGAUGUUAUUACAAUGGUAGUGGAUAUGAAAUCGAGUCAGAAACUAUGUCUGGGAAGAGGAUUUUUGUCUAGUUAGAAAGAAAUGUGUGAUCUCUCAACCGAAGAUAUGUACAUAUAUGGUUUGAAACACUAGCUGGCAAAUAGGAUUAAAUUUGGGGGUAAGUGUCUACCAAAAACCUCUGUUUAAGUAUAAAAUCAGAGGAGUUUGUUCAAACUGACGUGUAUGAGUAGUAGGACAAGUAUGAUUUCUAAAGUGUUUGAGGCUUAAGUUGGAAGAAAGCUCUUAGUCGAUAUUCUGGAAAAAUGUAGCAUUAUACCCAGAUGGAUACUGUUUUUUUUUUUUUGGGGGGGGGGGGUGGGGGAGGGGGAGAGGUUAUUUUACUAGUAGCUAGAAGUCAUUGUACCGAAGAAUACACAAGAGAGAUAACUAACAAUAACCUACAUUUUUCUGGUCUAAGACCAUCUCUAGUGUUAACUUUGCUAUCUGCAUUUUUAGAUACUGGAUAAUGCAUAUAGGUGUGUGGAAUUAGAGAAGUUUGAUGGGAAAAGGAAACUACAUUCUUUGAAAAGGCAAUAUUCUAGCUUGCUUAUAGAUCUUGGGGUUACUAGAAGCUUUGAAAGACGAAGAAGUAUUAUCAAGUCACUAAGAACAAGUCUGAGAGAUAGGAGAGAAAACUCAGUAAAAGAGAGGUUCAAAUUGUGAAAGUCCAUAUACUUUCAGAGAAAACAGAAACACUAUAUCAAAUUUUUGGUCUCAGUCUAGGUGAUAAACUGAGUUUUACCAGUUUCUAACCUUUGUUUUUAAUUAAGUAAAAGUUUCAAUUUAGAAUCUUUUUGGUCAUUUAUCAAAUCUUUUCAGGGUUUAAGUCGUUUGGAGGAUGAGCCGAAAAUAUGCAUAUGCAGAUGUAGGAUCGUACAGAGGCGACAACCUUUGGCAUUUACUGAAUGACUUCUCAUGAUGUAUAAAACUCAAGUUUAAAGAUAAAGCAUUGGGUUAAAUGUUAUGUGGAAGUAGUUUCAAGUCGUUCCUAUUGUGUGAACGAAAGUUAUGUCAGUUUUUGUGAAAACAGUCUAGUCUGACGAAAAAAAAACCAUGUACAUGAAAUUUCUAAGGAUCAAAGGAUUGACUGAUCCAUGCACAGGAAACACAUAGAAAUUUCUAGAAACUAACAGAUCCACUCGUGCAUCAUCCUAAUUUACCCAAAUCUAAACCUAGACCUAUUGAGACUACAUUUUUUGAGACACUAUUUGAGGCUAACCUUUAUUAUCUACAGGUCUAUUUUCAUAUUGGGGAAAAGAAUCUUGGACUAUACUGGUGGUUUCCAAAUUUUAGUUCGUAAUCUACUCUACCCAAGUGCAAGGCAAUGUUGUUGAGUAUGAUAGGAUCGAACCAUAAGGAAAGACUUUCAAAACUAUUAAGAAUACAAGCUACUUUAUAAACUAAGCAAAUCAAAAAACAUUUCUUUGAGCUUUCUAAAAAACUACUUUAAGUUCAAGCUCAAAUAUAAAAAGCUACGAUCAAGAAGGUAAACAACUUAAAUCAAAUCAAAUUAAAAUAUAUGGACAAUAGACUAAGGUCAAUGACUCGAUAUUAUUAAUAACUGGUUAAUGAUGCAAACUCAUUCAAAUCACCCCUAGAAGGCAUAGAUCACAUGAACUAGAUUAAUCACUAUGAUAAAUUAAUCCAUUUACUAAUACUAGCCUAAUAAAUUUCUCAGUAGUUAGCUAGAGCUUUGCAAUCUUUAAAUUUAAGUCUAUCUAUCCAAAAUAAAUAAAAAGUCUAUCUACCCAUAAACCACCUUAAGCAUGCAACCUUCACUGGAUUAAGAGUGAACUGCAUUAUUAAUUUAUUAGAGUUGAACUAGAUACUUCUAAAAUACUUCUGAUUAAAAAUAAGAUCAACUUCUAAAAUACCAUCAAUUCAGUUAUCUAAGAUGAAGAAACCCCUCUCUCUCAGCAGCAAAAGGAUGGCGAUGAUAUACGAUAUCUAAAUGAGGUUGAUUUGGCGAUGGAAUCUAGUAUCGGUUUGUAUGGAGUUCCUUCUGGAAAUUAAGGUGGAGGGUGACUCUACCGCGGAUGAACCAGAUUUAGUACGGGAAUUCGGUUCGAUCCCACAAAAGGAUCUAUGGGAAAGAAGUGAUCUGCCUGGGAACUUCAGAUCUGUGUAUUUUCAUUCUGAUUUAAUUAAGAUACGGGGAAUAAUUUAUUAUGGUAGCUCAUGGAUGAUUAUGAGAUUGCGAUGGGUUUGGAUUGACCAAAUCAAACACAAAGGAAAUUCGGAUCUUCAUAGUACGGGAAGAGUCUCUUGUUGGGGGAGUGGAGCUAGACGCUCUACAUGGAUUGAUUCUGAAAGUAACAUUACAGAUACAUCUCCCGAUAUAGUGAAGCAGAGAAUAGUUUCGGGGAAGGAAAGUAUAAGAACAGGAUCAAGAGGAAUUGAUACGGAGAAGAGAUCUAAGGAAUCAGACUAUACGAAAAUGACAUCGGGGAAAUUAAUAGAUGAAUCACAGAUGAGAUAUCAUGAUUCUAUCUGUAGAAAGACAAGUCGGAGGUUACCACAUUAUAAAGAGGAGCAGAGAGGCACAAAUCUUACUCAUCCCUCUCUCAUUCAUCGAUUCCAAAUUCUCUUUUUUCAAGCUUCUUCUCUUUCUUACAAUGCGGUGGUUCUUAUACAGUCUGAGCGGAUGUCUCAAGGUUUGCUAAUCGGGGCUAAAGGAUCUCAAAUCGGUCAGACUGGCAUGGAGAAGAAGGUUGCAAUUUCCCUGAAACGUAUGAAGAUCACGGUCCCGAAAUUUGACAACUCUAGUCUCAUUGAAGGAUAUUCACGUACCUUGAUUGGGAGGUGUAUGAAUCCUCACCUUCAAGACAUGAAGGCGCUGCUGUACAUGCUUCCUCGGAUUUGGAAAGUAGAGGACAUAGUUGCAGGUGCAGAUUUGGGAAUGGGAAAAUUCCAGUUCAUGUUUGAUAAAGAAGAAGAUGUUCUCGAGGUGAUGAAAAUGGAACCUUUCCAUUUUGAUUACUGGAUGCUAUCUCUUGUUCGGUGGGCUCCGAUUAUUGAUCCAAGUUACCCUUCGAUGAUCAAAUUCUGGAUCCGCAUCAUUGAAGUUCCUCUCCACUACUGGGCAGAUGUUACUUUCCGAAGCAUCAGAAAGGCUCUUGGUAAGGUUGAGGAGGUGAAUGUAGAUGACGUAAAAGUACAGGUGAUCAUCGAUGGCUUGAAACCUCUGUAUUUUGAAACAACGGUGGAGUUUGACGGUGGAGAGGAGACAACGGUUUUCUUGCGGUAUGAGCGUCUAUUUGGAUUCUGUAGGAUCUGUCACAGUCUUUGUCACGAUCAGCUGAGGUGUCCUACUCGUGUGAGUAGCGAUGGAAGGAGAACAUGGGAAGAUCAGCAGGAUGAGGAACAAAAUGGCAAGAGUCCAGCUUCGUAUAGAACAGCAACAACACAUGGUGUCAACAAGGAGCUAGGUGGAAACUUUAAACGGAAUGGUAAAUCACAUACGGUGGUGGAGGAUGGAAGACAACACAAAGAAAGAACGGAAAGGAGGUCUGGUGAGGGCUCGUCGAGGGUCUUAAGACCACAUGGUUACAUUCCUCCAAGGGAAUUUCAGAAGAGGUCAUCAAGAUCAAAAAGUGUGGUCUUUGAAUCACAAGGCAACAGGUCUUUGGAUGUUCAGGUGCCAAAAGAAACACCUGGAGAGCAACAUUUGGUGCAGGAAGACAAACAAGAGGAACAUUUGGUUUCGGUGGAGCCACUUUGUGAAAAAUCAGCAAGGAAGAGUCUGGAUUUUGAGGGUGAUGACUUUCUCGAUUUUGACACUACGGAGAAAGAGCUCACUGGGGUUGCGGACGUACUGUUAAGAAAGGAGACGGAGGCACCGGUUUCAGAAACAGUAAACAAAGCACCAGAAGGAAAAACAGAGAAUCACGAUGCUAUACAAGAGUUCUUACAACAGGUUAAUAGCGGUUUGGAAACAGGGGAGCUCCAACUAAAUUUGGAUGCUGAGUUUGGAGGCAUGGAUCAGGAAGAGGCAGAGUUCAUGGGAAACGCAAAUGGGGCUUUACAGAGGGUACAAGAUGGCUCAGAAUAAGGGCACAUCAGUGAAGGCGAUAUCCAAAUGGCGGAGGUGAAUGAUGUUUUUGACGAAGGUUCCAAACAGGGUACAAAGAAGAAAGCCACGAAGAUAAACUCAAAAUAUUUAGGCGGUGGCUCAAAGAAGAGAAUGGUGCAAGCACUAAUUUCCCCACGUAAGAAACAGGUGGCAAAAGUCAUAAACCGUAACGGAGACGGUAGCUCUCAAGGCGCUCCAAAGGGUCCAUCAAACCCGAGAGAGGGGCGGAAAUUGGAAACAAGCAUUAAUAAAUGAGAAUUCUAAGCUGGAAUUGCCAAGGACUUGGGAAUCGCUGGACAAUAAGCUAUCUUCGGGAGGUUUGGAAGAAACACAGACCAGAGUUUAUGUUUCUCUCAGAAACCAAACAAGAUUUUUCUUUUUUACAAAAAUUUCAGUUUCAUUUUGGUUAUAAUAAAUUGUACACGGUUGAGCCGUGCGGUGCAAGUGGUGGACUUGCCUUAUUUUAUAAUGAUUCUUUUGAUGUCACAAUUUUAUUUUCAAAUAAUCGGAUUAUUGAUAUUGAAGCGAAUAUUCUCGGAAAAAAAAAUGAACCUCUCGUUUAUUUAUGAGGAUCCAGUGUCAAAAAAUCGGGAUAGAGUCUGGGAAAGAUUAACACGUAUGAGUCUCACACGGUCGGAUCCUUGGUUCAUUAUUGGAGAUCUAAACGAGAUAACGGGUAAUAAUGAAAAACAAAGAGGCCCGUUAAGACAUGCUUCUACCUUUGUGUCUUUUAAUUUAAUGAUAAGGGACUGUGGCUUUUUAGAAUUCCCAUGUUUAGGAAAUAAAAUGUCUUGGAGGGGACGAAGAAAUUCAAAAGUCGUUAGAUGUCGUCUAGACCGGGCUUUAGCGAAUGAAGAUUGGCAUGAGGUUUUCUCACACUCCUUUGUUGAGUAUCUCGCAAUGAUUAGAUCAGAUCAUAGGCCAAUUGUGGCUACAAUUGAGGAUAAAAUGACACGGAAAAAAUUACAAUUCCGUUUUGAUAAGAGGUGGCUAGAAAAAGAGGGUUUAAUGGAAUCUAUCUCCAAAGGUUGGGACUUUGAUCCGGGCGAUGGGGAAGUAAAGUUCAUGGACAAAGUACGGAAUUGCAGAAGAGAAAUAUCCAAAUGGAGAAAAACCCUUAAGCCAUAUGGGCAGGAAAGAAUUAACGAAUUGAAAAAGAUAAUAGAAGACAUCCAGAAUGAUGAUACAAGGACAGAUGAGGAAUUGAUGGAGGUCACAAAAAAGUUGAAGGAAGCUUAUAGGGAUGAAGAAUUAUAUUGGCAACAAAAAAGUCGCUCUCAUUGGGCCAAGGCAGGAGAUAAAAUACAAAAUUUUAUCAUGCACUGGUUAAACAAAGAAGAGCACAGAAUCGAAUUAUUGGCUUGAAUAAUGUGGCAGGAACAUGGGUUACUUCAGAAAAAGAGGUUGAGCAGGUGGCUGUUAAAUAUUUUGAUGAGUUAUUCACCUCGACUUCGCCAACGGAAUUUGAUGAGGCAUUGGGAAAUAUUAAACCAUCAAUAUCGGAGACAAGUAAUGCAAUGCUCACGGCUAUGGCAUCCGAGGAGGAAAUUAAAAAAGCACUAUUCAUGAUGCAUCCGGAAAAAGCUCCGGGACCCGACGGAAUGACAGCACUCUUCUACCGACGCUCAUGGCAAAUCAUCAAGGCGGAUCUUGUACGUUUAGUCAACGGGUUCUUGGAGACAGGGGUUUUUGAUGAACGACUAAAUAUGACAAAUAUAUGUUUAAUCCCAAAAACAGAAAGGCCAACGAGAAUGACUGAACUACGGCCUAUUUGCCUGUGUAAUGUAGGUUACAAAAUUAUAUCUAAAGUACUCUGUCAAAGACUUAAAAGGUUAUUACCGGACCUGAUCUCGAAAACACAAUCAGCUUUUGUGGCACGACGACUGAUUUCAGAUAAUAUUCUAAUAGCACAAGAGAUGUUUCAUGGCCUGCGGACUAAUAAUUCAUGCAAAAAUAAAUAUAUGGCGAUAAUGAUGGACAUGAGCAAAGCCUAUGAUCACGUGGAAUGGGCUUUUAUUGAAGAUCUCUUGAAACGACUUGGUUUUGCGGAGAAAUGGAUAACAUGGAUAAUGCGAUGCAUCACCUCGGUAAAAUACAAAGUUCUAUUAAACGGACAACCAAAGGGACAAAUAAUCCCAGGGAGGGGACUCCGUCAAGGGGAUCCUCUAUCUCCAUAUUUAUUUAUACUAUGUACGGAAGUUCUAAUUUCAAAUAUAAAGAAAGCUGAAGAGGAAAAAUUAUUGACCGGCCUAAAAAUUGCACGAGCAAGUCCAUCGAUCUCACAUCUACUUUUCGUGGAUGACAGCUUAUUUUUUUGUAAAGCAAAUAAAGAUGAAUGCCAGAAGAUUUUGGCUAUACUGAAACAGUAUGAAAGGGUCUCGGGACAACAAAUUAAUUUUGAUAAAUCUUCAGUUCAAUUUGGGCAUUUGGUCUCGGAAGACGUUAUAAAUGAUAUAUAUGAAACAUAUUUUAGGAAUUUCUUGUGAUGGAGGGACGGGAUCCUAUUUAGGUAUCCCGGAAAGCCUAGGUGGCGCCAAAACCAAAAUCUUUAAUUUUGUAGCUGAAAAACAACAUGAUCGGAUCAAUAGCUGGACAUCACGAUUGUUGUCGAAAGGCGGUAAAGAGGUUCUGAUUAAAUCGGUGGCAUCCACAAUGCCUACCUUUGUCAUGUCAUGCUUUCGAUUACCUAAAUCUACUGCGGAAAAACUAACAAGUGCAGCAGCAAGGUAUUGGUGGAGCUCUGAUGGACAUCAUCAUGGUAUGCACUGGGUAGCGUGGAAAAAAUGUGCAGAGAAAAAUCAGAAGGAGGUAUCGGUUUCCGAGAUGUAGAGGAUUUUAACACGGCUUUAUUGGCAAAACAAUUAUGGAGGUUGAUUGAUAGGCCAAACUCCAUGUUUACACAGGUAUUCAAAGGACGAUAUUUUCGGAACUCAAGUCCUUUGGAUACAGCGAAAUCCUACUCGCCGUCGUAUGGAUGGCGGAGCAUAAUCUCGGCUAGAUCUUUGGUUAAAAAAGGGCUAAUCAAAAGAGUUGGUUCAGGAUGCUCUAUUUCUGUAUGGAAUGAUCCUUGGAUACCUUCUUCUCGCCCGAGAUCAGCCACCUGUAAGGGGUUUAAUUAUUACCCCAAUCUUAUGGUUAAUCAUCUGAUUGACCCAGUGAAAAACUCAUGGAAUCUGGGUCUGAUAAAGGCAAUUAUCAACCCGAGGAUGUGGAAAUUAUUCGUGGAAUUCCCAUUAGUAGAUCUUAUAGGCCAGACUCAUUGGGCUGGCACUUCACAAAAUCUGGACGAUACACGGUAAAGUCGGGGUACAAAACUGAGCGGUAUUUUUCGGAGAGGAUCUCAGAGGUCUCAUUUGGCCCAGAUAUUAAAGUUUUACAAGCAUAUACUUGGAAACUGAAAUGUGCGCCGAAAUUACAACAUUUUAUAUGGCAAGCAAUCUCUGGUUGCCUAUCAGUAUCGGCUAGGUUACAUACUCGGAGAAUACAAUGUGACACACAAUGUGCACGGUGUGGAGCAGCAGAAGAGACAAUUAAUCAUGUUCUGUUUGAAUGUCCUCCUGCGUUACAAACGUGGGCAUUAUCAUGAAUUCCAACACCCCCAGGGGUUUUUCCAGGGCCAUCGGGUUUUUCGAAUUUUGAUCAUCUGUUUUGGAGACUUCCAAAGGAGGAAAAUAACAUACAAUUUCCAUGGAUCGCAUGGUAUAUUUGGAAGGCUCGAAACGAGAAAGUGUACUCAAAUACCGAUAUAGAUCCACGGGUUACACUAAAAAUAGCGGAAACAGAAGCGAAUUUAUGGGAAGAGGCUCAAAGUUCAGAACAGGAUUUAACACAUAUAGAUCUUGUCCAUACUACAAGCUUGUCAAUACCUAUAGUCUAUGAAGGCUGGUGGUGUUAUAUUGAUGGAUCGUGGAAAGAUACGGAGCCAGUAACGGGUCUAGGAUGGUUUUAUUUUAAGGAAGGUGUUACAGGAAAUAUAAUGGGAGCACAAAAUGUAAGACGAAGUCUUACGCCUCUGCACGUAGAAAUGGAAGCCCUUAUAUGGGCUAUGCAUUGUAUGUUGGAGAAUCAAAAGAUGGAAGUCGCUUUUGCUACGGACUGUUCAGAGUUGGUGAAGAUGGUGUCUACACCCGAAGACUGACCGGCUUUUGCUCUACACUUGGAGGAGAUAAUGAAGAUGAAAGACAGAUUCCGCUUCUUUCGUAUAUCCCAUAUCCCACGCGCAAAGAACUCGAAGGCGGAUAACCUAGCAAGGAGUGCUCGGAUCUACCCUCAAAAUGUUAUGUAUGUACACUCAAUACCACCAGUUUGGUUAACCCAACCGUACUAGACAUUGAGGCUGUUGACAAAAAAAAAAAAAAAAGGAGUUGAACUAGAUAUUUCACCAAACACCUUUAGUACAUGAAAUCCCCCCUUGAGCUAGGUUGUGAUUAGCAAUGUCAAACCUAGUAUUAGAAAACUAUAAUCAUCUAGGUUAGAUGCAUAAAUAUGCUAAAAUAGACAUCAUUAACCAAUUCUUAAUAAAUCUUUACCUAACACAACGCCCAUAGAUAAACAACUCAAACAUGGAGAAUGACUUUAUACCAAAAAAAAGGGAUUAAAGAGGGUAUUAAAAAAUAUAUUAAAAGUAAUGAUUCACUCAAGAUCCAAAAACAAUCAUAUUAAGAGGUAAAGAAAAUGUAAUGGGAAUAUAGUUGUCAUAUAUAUCUAGAUAUAGAAAUAUUUAUACUAAAAAGUGGCUAAUCGGGUCUAGCCAAAUAAAACCGGACUGGACUCAAAUAUACCAACGCUGAGACAAGUAUUGUAUAGUCGAGUAUGGUAGUCAAGUAACCGCCAUGUCGAUCAUCAGAAUCACUUCUUAUUUAUCUUCGAGUCUUCGUCUUCAUUGAUGUUUAGACCGCUACCAGUUGCACCAGGGGUUCGUGCUUAAUUUUGAGCUGUUCAUCGAUCUUCCACAUCGAUCCAGCAAUCGAUAUAGAGGUCUUCAGAGGGUUAGUCUUAGUAUUUCCCUUUUUACUCGUUUUACCGCCUUCUUGCAUCGAUCCAACAACUGAUGUAUGCCUCUCGCCUCUUGAUGCCUCUGUUUGCACGUUAUGCUGAGAGUGUUCUCCUUUCCAAGCCUCUAAAAGAAACUACAAAUGUGAAAUUGUAUAUGCAAAAUGCUAUAUGGUCAUCCUAAGUUCCUAAAAGUGCAAUAAAAAGCUAAGACUAAAAUGCAUGGAUGCGAAUGAAAUUAAGCAAAAAGUGGUCGACACAAUGAGAAAUACUAACUAAAAAUGGUAAAAAAUAUUCGUUUAACACAAAAUCUAUUGGGUUGAUCCAUUUGAUCCAUUUAGACACCUCUAGGUUGGACGUACAAAUCUUGAAGUUGAAAACUGUACGGACAUUUCCAGAACAAUUAAAAUAAGUAUGGUGUGUUUUGGUAACAAGGCGAUAUUGACUGCAACUAGGAUUUCUUACUUCUCUGUCAUGAUGAUGCCGUCAGCGACCCUUCCGCCAGGGCAGGGUAAAAAUUUGGCUCAGGAAGUUGAUUUGGAUACCGUAAAAGGGACUCCAGUUGCAGUUGUUGAUUCAAGGAAUGUUUCUUCUGAGAUGAAUGAUGUUGUGGAAGUUUUAGGUUCGCAAACCAGGGAUGGGAUGAAGGAAGUAGGUACUCAAGGGUGGUGCAUGGUUGGCGGUGGUCCAAAACAGGCUGACGAUGCAAAGAUAUGAUUUCACAGUAAAGAAGUUAAUGGUAUUGAAACUAUUAAGGUACCAACGGAAUGUUUUAGAGAACUCUCUCCCGCUAUGGGAAGAUCUCUUUGUCGAAAAGUUUCUUGAUACAACUCUGCAUAUGGGGAAAGUCCAUGUGUCAGUGAAUAAAAUCUGCCCUCUAUCGGAUAAAACAGUGAGAAUAUGCAUUUUUUGUGGUUGAUAAAACCACUAUAAAGUUCAGAAUCAAAAAUGAGACGUUAGAAAAUGAAGUCUUGAGAAGGCGUAUGUGGAAUUUAUGCGAUGUCCCUAUGACCAUAUCUACAUGGAGUCCGAUGCUAGAAAAAAUGCUACCAGAGUUAAAGUCGACACCAUUAUGGGUGGUUGUUAAGAAUGUCCCACGACCUAUGUUUGCGUAGAAAGGAUUAUCCUUUUUGACAAGUCCAAUUAGUGUUCCAAAGCAUUUACACCCAGAUACUGAGCUCUGUAAAAGCUUUGAAAUGGCUCGUGUGUUUGUUGAGGUCGACUUAACGAAACCACUGCCAAGGUCCUAGAAUUUUGAAAUGGAGGGAGGACAGUGCAUAAAACAUUCCUACGAAUAUCCAUGGCUACCGGCAAAGUGCAGCAACCGUGAGAAGUGGUGACAUAAACAAGUCGAAUGUGUUCUGAAAAAGUUUAAACCCGAAGAUUCAUUUGAGUCCUAAAAAACUAGUGUUUUCUACACAAUAGGAUGUCGUGAUUAGGCAACAAGAGAAACAAAGUGUUCCUAUGGUAGUAGCAGACGGUGUUUCAUCUUCUAUAAAAAACGAUGUGGUGGAAGGAGAAUCAAAUAUGCCAGUGCGGUCAGUCAUAUCGUCAGGCAACGUGACGAACGAUCUAAAAUUCAGAGAAGUCAAUAUUCUCGCUAAUUCCUGAUUUUUUCCCUUGAUGAGACAGAGGAGAGGAGGGAGAAAAAAAUCCCAGUGUUUGAAAUGGAUUGAAAAAAUAAGAGUUGAUUAAUGAUAAGCAAGGUGCAGACGAAGGAAGGGAUACAAAGAAUGUAAACGCGUCAAAUGAAUCCGAAGCUACGAUGCCAUAGAUGUUACAUGGCUCAGAUGGAGGUUCUGAACAGAAUACGCAUCAGUCCUUAAGAUUAGCACAGAAGAAAACGUCCACAGUCCAACCAAAGAAUGCCAUGGCUAAUCACCAUGACACUAAACCUUUUCCUCAAUGUUUGCUAGAUGAUUCCAUCUCUCAUAAGCCACCCUCUCAUUCUCCAUUGCCAGACAUGUAGAGUCUUGCAUUGUAUGCUCUUGCAACUCGCAAAGUCUGCUAUAUGCUUCCUUUGUUCUCUUUGUUAUAUAACUAAGUUCAAAGAUAAGGUUCAAGUGCCUUUAGAAUGAAGAAGAUGUUGUGUUCUUUCCUAAAUUGCUCUGACUUGAUAUAAAUAACCCGGAUAAUGGACUAUAACGUUUGUAAAUUUGAAAGAUCUCUUCUUCCAGUGCUCCUCUUUCAAUAGUAUUGUACACCUUAGGUGAUCUGAACAACCUCUGGCUUCAAAAAAAAAAGUAUGCUUGAGCUUGACUAGUGAUCCAUUUACUGUUUACUAAAACUCUGUCUAGCUUCUUGCUUAUCAACCCUGUUGUCCUCUUAUUAAACCAAUAUAUUUUGGACCAUGAUAGCUGAGAUCUGAUAGUUCACAAUAUCCGACUGCUUCUUGGAAGUCUCUCAUACCCACUGGUAUUAUUGGAGAAUCCUUAUACAAUGAAUGUUCCUCAUCCUAUAAAAUUUCAUUAAUCACCACAAAUGAUCCAAGACUUCCCUCUAAACAUACCUGAAUUGUGGUGGUUUCUCAGGUCUUUCCACAGUUCUUUUAUUUCCUCCACCGAGUUUAGAGUAUAAACAAAAGAUACCAGUAAUUCCUCUUCCUUUCCUUCCAUCAGUAUUGAGCAUGAAACCAACUGCGAUUAUUUGAAGAUAGGCGUGACUCGUACAUUCUGUCUUAAAGAAGCAAUAACCACGAAGGAUUAUAGACCAAUCUCCUGCUUAAUGUAAUCUAUAAAAUCAUCACAAAGAUCUUGGCUAAUCAUCUCAAGAUUAUCCUUCCAAAUUUUAUAACACCAAACCAAUCGGCUUUUUUCAAAAACAGAUUGCUGAUGGGGAAUGCGCUGCUAGCCACAGAAAUAGUCAAAAAUUACCAUAAAGGAAAAACAACAGCAAGAUGUUCAAUGAAGAUUGCUAUUUCAAUAGAAUUUGACUCAGUGCAAUGGGAGUUUUUGCUCAAUACCAUGAAGGUUAUGGACAUCCUAGAUAAGUAUAUAUAUUCAUUGGAUCCGUCUAUGUAUAUCUUCUGCAUCAUUUUCAGUUCAGGUUAAUGGGGAAUUGACAGGCUACUUUAGUAGCAAUCAGGGACUAAGAAAAAGCUGUUCAUUGUCUCCAUACUUAUUUGUGAUCUGUAGGAACAUCCUAUCAAAGAGAUUGGGCAAAGCAGCUGCAGAAAACAGAAUUGGAUACCAUCCUGAUAACACCUGAUUUUGACCACUUUUAUGGAUCACUUUCAAUGUCUUAUGUAGGAUUUUUCACUCAGUUUUAAAGGUUUUAAGUGAUUUCCAUGUUUUAAAGUCUCAAAAGAGUUUUUAGGAUAUUUUGCAAAAGGAGUGCACUUGGAAACAAAAAGCACAACUUUGGAUAAUUCAGACCGUAGCAAAUGGAGGCCUUCUCACCAUCUGAUCAUCUCCAAAUUUGGACAAGAUAGAGGAUACAACCAGCUUUCCAAUGCAAGUGGAAUCAAAGAAAUCCAACGGUUAGAUCUCCAGAUAUGGUUAAUGCACUGAAGGCAAAUCAACACAGUCGGAAGCUGACCCGUGGCCAAAACAUCAUCCGCCGUGGGUGCAACAUUAUAGACCACGAGGAGCCUAUUUUCUAGCCUCAGAAGCCCAUUUUGAAGUCCAAGUCAUUUUCGUCAUUAUUCCUGCAAGCACUAGGCGUUUCCGAGGACUCAAGACACUAUAUAAACCUCAUUUAAGUCAUUUGGAAGAGUGUGCCACAUUUUUCCAGGAACCCUAGAGAAAGAGACUCACCGUGAAGAGGAGCCACCGAGAGGGGCACCAUCGGCCCUCCUGCUUCACUCUGUUCUUCGUUUCUAAUCUUUGUCUGUUUCAAUUUUCUGUAAUUCUAAAUACUUUUGUGAUGUUAAAUUCAACUAUGUCUGAGUAGCUUUCCAGCUGGGUUUUUAAGGGAUUUUUCAAAGGGAAUUUCAUGUCCUGAUCUUAUGCUUUGUUAGAUUUAGGGUUCAUAAUCUUCUAAGAGUCUUUUGUUCAUUCUUUUUCUCUAUGCUGUUUCUGUUGCUAGCCGCUUAUAAACUGAUCUCAGUAAUUGGAGCCACGAGAGUGUUGUAUCGAAUUACCAGACCUAGAACUGAUUUAGCAAAGUCGCUAUAGGAGACGAAAGCUACCUAUAGAGAAUCGCGAGCGUGGACGAAUUCUGUUUUUAAUGCAUGAUCUUAUUCGAAGCAUGAGAGCGAGAGUUAAUUGCCGAGUUGAGUGAUUUGUUGAUUAGGGUAGCGAGAGUUGGCUAAUCAUGCACACGCCUAUUCGAGUUCGGGAUCCUCACUAGAUGAUUACCUUUAUCGAUUUGUUUGUCUUUCAGUUCACGAACCCCUGCGAAACCCCUUUAGACCCAGCAUUUAGUCCUUAUUGUUUUACAACCAUUUUAAUUUAAUUUGCAUUUAGAUUUAGUGACAUCAAAACCAAAACCCCCAUCUUGCUUAUUCUACUAGACUUAAGUUUUGAUUGAUUCGUACUGAAAGCUCAAAAUCUCUGUGGUACGAUCCCUAAGUACUACAACGCACAUUUGUGCACAUGCAGCUAUUUAGGGUUAUAAAUUUAAAAUGUGAAGCUAGAAGUAACCCUUGAUUAUUUCAGCAUCAAGUUUUUGGCGCCAAGCUAAAAGAGCUAAUCGAGCAGUUAAAUGUGAGCUUUCCUUUGAUUGAAGCUUGUGCAAUGAUACCUGCUCUUAGGAAAUACAUGAAGGGCAUUCUAACAAUUUUUUUAGCAUUAGAAGAAGGCGUUAUGAUGAUAACUCAUGAAUGUAUUUCCAUCUUACAAAACCAUGUCCCCCAAAAGAAAGAAGAUCCGGGAAGUUUUGUACUAUCUUUCACAAUCAGGAAUAUGACUUUCGAUCAUUCUCUCUAUGAUUUGGGAUCGAGAAUCAACAUGAUGCCACUCUCAGUCGCAAAACGCUUGGGAUAUCAUACUUUCCAGCCCACAAAAAUCUUACUAAUUCUUGUCAAUCGAUCAGUUAGACAGCCGGAAGGAGUCCUGGUUGAUGUAUCAGUCAUGAUAGGAGAGAAUUGUAUUCUGACUGAUUUCGUAGUGCUUGAAUUUGGAAGGGAACCACAGGAUCCUCUAAUACUCGGUAGACCAUUUUUAUCAACUGCCGGGGCAAUAAUAAAUGUUCCGAAAGGAAAGAUAGAUCUCCAUCUAGGGAGCUUGUUUAUGCAGUUUGAUAUCAACAAAAGUCUUGGGAAACCCACUUUAGAUGGCAGACUUUGCUGGAUUGAUGAGCUUGAUGAGAUCAAUGAGGAAGUUUAUGAAGAACUCCUUCUUGACGAUCUUUAAAAAUCAUCCUCACCACCACAAGUGAUGAUCGCAACCUGCUCGAAGAAGUUUCGAAAGGAUGUGUGCAAAUACUUGAUAAAGCCAAAGAUUACGCGAAACUUAUGAACUACCUCGACCUGAAUGAGGAAACUCACAAGCUACCCCUCGAAAAGAUACCUUGGCAUCUGUAAACGACCCAUGAGCGAACUAAAAGCCCCAAAAGUCAAGCUUAAACCUCUUCCUGAAGGACUCAAGUAAGUUUUUCUUGGACCAAAUUCCACUUACCCUAUCAUCAUAAAUUCCUGUCUAAGUAGAGCUGAAACUGCUAUGCUGUUAAAUGAGUUGAGGAAGCAUAGGAAAACCAUAGGGCUAUUCUCUUGAUGACAUACCAGGUAUUUCUCCAGAUCUUGUAUGCACAAGAUAAAUCUUGAGGAGAAUGCCAAGAAUUCGAUUGAAAGCCAAAAGAGAUUAAACCCAAACCUGAUGGAAGUAUUAAAGAAGGAAAUCGAAACUUUUGAAAGCAGGAAUCAUAUUCCCUAUCUCGGACAGCACUCGGGUUAGUCUUGUGCAUGUUCUCCCAAAGAAGGGAGGAGUAACUGUUGUCAAAAAUGACAAGGAUGAAAUGAUCGCUGAUAACUAAAAGUUUUGAGGCUCUUAGAAGGGUUAUCAAUCCCCUUGUCAAAGUAGUAUAAGGGGUGUCAAUCCAUAUGUGUGGUAGUUAGGCACUAGUUUAUAAGAUAAGUUCUUAAGUCAAGUUAAUCAAAGACAGGUUUUUGGUAACAAGUAACAAGUGAAAAUAUAAACAAGAAACAAACAAGCAAUGAUAAGGAAGUAAACAAAGCAAGCUAAACAAGAUGAUGGUGAUUAAGCAAAUGAUAAAAGCUAAACCUCUAGAUGUGAUCAUUGAUUAGGGUGCUCUAGAUAUCAAUUCAUGAUGCUAAGAACAAAAUGCAAUGCUUGUUACUCUUUAGUCUAGACUUCAAAAGCAGAUUAAUUCAUUCCCAUGACAAUAAUCUCUUUGCAAACCACUUAAUCAAGAUUAAUUCACCUUAAGCAAGAUCAAGCAAUCAACAAGCAUAAAGUAUCAAGUCUAAAAAUGACCAAACGGUUUCUAUUUCAAAGAGACCGAAUCUUACACAGAAAGCAGCAACAAGCAAUCACAUGAUCUCAAAACCAAUUAACUUAGAACUCAAAUCUAGACUGAUCCUCUCAUGAAGGCAUUAAUCUCUACACUAAUCCACUUUCAAACCAAAUCAUCAUUUGUGAAAUAUGAAUCAGUGAGCAUUAAGAAACAGUUCUAAUAUGUCAUUCAUGCAUUUAACAAAUCAUUCCCAUGAUGAAAAAGGCAUAAACCCUUAGCUUAGUUCAUUCAGACAUUUCAUCAAACACCUUGUGGGUGGAGAAAUGACUAAGGUCUAGAUCAGAGUGAUGUGCAAAGAUCUAGCAUUAAGAGCAGCUAACUAAGGAAAGGAGAUGAGAAUCUAGAACCUAAACAUCAUAAACUGAUCAUCUAAGCACCCUAAUCUAUACACCUAGAAGCUUAAAAGAUGACUACUCACUAAUCAUGAUUAACACACCAUUUCCUUUGCAAGAGGUGGUGUUAAUCAUGAUUAGAAGCAGAGAUGAGAUGAUGAGAUGAUAAGAAACAGCUUUGGAAUGAUCAAAUCCCUUAGAUAUCUCUUAAUCAAACUCGUUUUUACACUAAGAAGCAGAGAGAAAAACAAAAAGAAAGCAGACUAGAGGAUAAGAUAAAGCAUAAGAUAAAGCAUAACUAGGGUUUUAGUCUCUUAAAACUAUUUAUGUAAAAGAGUGUGGGCCGGGUCAGCCCAGGACAAACUGGGUACUGACCCGCCCUUUCUGGGUUUCUGGAGCCACCCCUCGCCAUCUGAAGAAGUCUCACACCGAGGGCCACACACCAGGGGAUCAUGUGCUGGGUUGAGACUUUGAUGAACACUUGAAGAACAUGCAUGAGACUUGGCCUUAGAUCCGGUUAAAGCUUUGAAACGUGAAGAGGAUUUCUUUGUGAUCUGGGUUGGAGAGAUGAGGACCUCGGCAUAACAUGCCGAGGGGCUUGGUACCCGAGGUUUGUGUAACAUGGGAGUUCGGCAUAACAUGCUGAAGGGUUCACACCAAGGUCUGCUUCAACACUUAGUCGUUUUGGGAUCAUUUUGGUGAUCAAGGGAGCCUUGGUGUUGAAAGAUCGAAGUCCUACCUCGAGGUAUAGUCUCAAAGCUUCGUAAACAUGCCUCCUCGGCAUACAUGCCGAGGUAUUCACGCCGAGGUAGGACACAACACUUAGCUUACAGUCGCAUCUCUUAAAACCCGAAUUGACCAGCUUCUCUUCAGUUCAGUGUAACUUUCAGCUCAUAACUCCAAAUGACCUAAUACCAGUUCCAUGAGAAAGAUAACUCAUUCAUCGCAAUCUUUGGUGAAGAAACUAUCGGCCCUUGGGAAGUGGAAAGCUUCCUGGAGAGCUCAUCUUCGCAGUGCAUUUACACGAUCAGAGAGAGGCGUCUAGACAUGUGUUCAUUCCGGAAACGUUAACUUCUUUCUCAUAGAUCCGAAUUGAAUGAUCUUGGACUUUCUGGAAAGAGGACUCAAAUAUCUCUGAUUCUCAUGAAGGCCUCGUAAACCGAAUCGGCCUGGAAGUGCGCCGUCUUUCGCAUUCUUCGGAGCUCAUCGGGUCGGUCCAAGACGGCAGCGAGACAGGGGUUUCUUCCGACGAGCUCAACUUUCUGCUCACGCGUCCGAAUUCCAUUAUUCCACUUGCUAUGGAACCAUGAUCCAAUCAUCUCCAAUUUUGAUGAAGCUCUCGACAGCUGAAUCGGACCGGAAGGUUCCCCGGACAGGCGAUUAUUCAGGAGUGUCGGAUUGCUCCGGAAUGGAUGCGAGAGAGGUCUGUCUUCCGAAUACCAUAUCAUUCAGAUCGGUGGUCCAAAUGCUUUGAUUCUAACUGUUCUGAACUCUGGACUCAAUUAUCUCCAACCGUUAUGAAGACUCCGACAGCUGAAUCGGACGGCAAGACCUUCCGGUAACGUGAUUUCCGAGAUGUAUCUGCACUCGAGAUUUUUGGCCGAGAAACUUAACCGCGGCACGUGUUUUUGGCCGAGAGUUCUACCCGCGGGAAGGAUUUUGGCCGAGAACCUUCGACCUUCAAUACACCAUUUUGCCGAGAAACCCAAAAUUGCUCCUUUUCACCAUUUUUGAUCAUUCCAUCUCCAUUUCUUCAUCUGAAUCACAUUCUCCACUCCAAAUUGGCUCCAAAAGCACCUGUUUAACACUCCAAACCAUGCAAAACUCUCUUGGACCUAAUGCAUUCUUCUAAGUCUUAAAACAAUGCCUAAAAACCUAAAAUGCAUGCAGAUGAAACAUGAUUUGGACUAAAAUAUGUACACUAAAUGAUGCAAUUUAUGAAUAUAUCAACUCCCCCACACUUAUUCUUUGCUUGUCCUCAAGCAAAAAGAACAAAUGAGAGAGAGAGGUUGAAUGCAUUGGGAGUUCAUAUUUCCUUUUAGAGAGAAGUGAUCACAAUGAGAAUUCAAGUUCAUGCUCAAUUAUGCAAUGCAAAGCCAUACUCAGAUAUAUAUCAACUCAACAAGGAAUCUCCACAAGUUCUCCUCUCUAUCAACUCUUUCACAUUCAUUAAGCUUUUAUCAAGUGAAUCAAAUGAUGAAAUGUUUAAACAAGCUGGCUUGGCUAGGGAGAGGCUAUGAGAUUAAAAUGAUCUCAUCAGUGUUCAAGCGGAUUUAAUGCAGCAAAAGGAUCUCUCUAUGAAUGAUCAAACUUUGGCAGAAUGCUAAAGGUAAAAAGCAACCUAUGCAUACAAGGGCAAAGACUCAUGACACCCCACACUCUACUCAAAGCUUUCUCACUUUCUCACUCUCUCAAGAACCUCACUUUCCACACUCAUUUUCCUCUUCACUAGGGGACUUACUUUUCAUUUUCACUCUCAAGUCUUGGAGUUCAAACUUUACACAGCUCUUUUUCUUUUGAAACCUCUAGCCUCUUUUUCUUUCUUUUCAAAACAUUUGAGCUCUUUGACUUCUUUUCUUUUCCUUUUACUUAGAGGCUAGACUCUUUCUUUUCAAGACACCAGAGCUCACUUUCUUUAACUCAAAACUCCAAGACCGAUUUCCUUUUCUUUCAUUCCCCUAGCUAUUUCCACUCUCUCUUUUCCACUCAUCUCACCUUAUUCCACUCACCAACAAGUCUUUUUCCCCCACACUUAUUCCUCGCCAACACUCUCAGUUCCUUGAUGUUGGAACACAGCACUCAAUGAGACCUGCCCUUGUCGCUCUAAACCUAACACUUUCUGCUAAGUUUGAUCUAAGGUGGCCUUUCAAUUCACACACAAACAAUUGGCUUGAAAGAAGGAUGGGUUCAAGGUGAGGGAACUGAUCCAUGAUGUGGAUUCAGCUACUUGAGCUAAGGAAAAAGGGCGGUAAAAACAAUGGUUCUAGCUCAAGUAUGUAUGUCGGUAUCCACAAGCUUAUUCAAACAAUGCAUCACAAGAUAUUUUCAAGUCAAGUUCAAGGUUCUCACUUAAUUAGAGUUGAGUUCAAUUCAAACUUGCUUCUCAGAUUCAGAUCGUUUCAGACUUUGCAAGCACAGAAAAAGAUUCACAAGCAUAUUCAGUUCAAGUUCUCAAAGUGAUGCACUCUCUAGAAAACCUAUCAUUACUCCCUGCAAGAUGCAACCUAUAUGAUGCAACUAGACUCGAUCCUAAAAAUGUGAAUGCAACUAGAAUGAACAUUUUUUGUGAAAAUUUUCUGAUUUUAUAUGCAUUUAGAUGCAACUACAUGAGACUCAAGACUCAAAGUGGAAAAUAAGAUCAAAGAAAACAUGAUUAGUAAACACUAAACUCCUCCCCCACACUUAAAUUACACAGUCCCCUGUGUUAUAAAAGCAUAAGAAAGAAGUGAAAGGCAAAAGCAAGAAAGAUGCAAAAUGAAAAAUAAAGAACUAUAUGUAUAUGUACAAAGAGUUUGGAGAGUUACCAGAAUUGUUCAUGAUGGAAUGGAGGCAUUGUACAUGGAGGAGAAUGCUGGUGCUUUGAACCCUCUGCUUGGACUCAAGUCUCUCAAGCGUCCCUCUUUGUUCAUGCUCGUUCAGGGACCCCUCUGCGUAGCCAUGCCGAGGCUUCUAUACCGAGGUGGACAAGUUUCUGUGUAAGUGGCAAGGGCACCUCGGUAUUAGCUCAAGAACACCUCGGCUUUGGCUCUCCAAGGCUUCUCACAGCACUUGGUUCCGUGAAGAUCAAACAAGAGACCUCGGUAAUGAUCAUCUUGAGGUGCUUGGCCGAGGUCUCAGGUUCACUGCUCCUUUGAAUCAUAAGGCCGCCACCUUUAAGCUCCUCUCUGCACUUGUUCCUUCAAACCAUUAAGCAAGAACACUUUCUAGAACCUGAGAUCACUUAGCAAACCCAUCAAAACAUUCUAAAAACACUAAAGAAAAUAUUAAAAAGACUAUAUACAAGGAUAAGCUUGGGGUGUCUCCCAAGAGCACUUUGUUUAAAGUCACUAAGUUUGACUUUGUAAAACCUUUCUUAGGUUGGGUGAGAAGGAGCACUAAUGCUCUUGAACAUGUCAAUUAUCUGAAGCAUGAAAGCUGAGCUCUGCUCCCUUUGAGAACCAUCAGACCCAUUUCCCUUGAACUCAAGCUUGAGACCUUUUUGCAUCAGCUCUUGAAUACCAUCAGAAUCCUUGUCAAUGAGUGUCUUUGUGAGACCGGUUCUGAGCUCUGCAAAUAACUCUGAUUUCCCAUUGCAAUCCAACUUGUACUUUACAGCUCCGUCCUCACAUGUCCAAGGGGUGAGAGUAAAGUCUUGUGAGGAAAAUUCAGGUUCAAGGUUCUUUUCUUUUGAAUCAGAUCUUUCACCUUUGCUGUUGAGCAUCUCUAGCUCACUAAGUGUAGGAGACCAUGUGAGGAAGAUGUCUUCUAAUCUGAUCAAAGGCUCUGUAUUCUCAUCCUUAUGACCAUAGUUGAUGUGGGCUUGUUCUCCUUUCUCCACAGCUUAAAGGGAUUUAGAUUCUCCUAAAACUUCAACACUUCCCACAUAAUGCAUCUCAAGCACCUUGGGCUCUUCUAUCUCUUGAGCAGCUGAUCCACAAAAUUCGGCUAAGGGAGGCUUGACAGGGUAAGAAACGUCCUUAUCCACCUUUGUAAGCACCACUCUUUGAGUAUCAAAGUCAAUCCUUGCACCAGUUGUGUUAAGGAAUGAAGUUCCAAGCAAAAGUGGAAGUUCCUUUGUCUUUUUCAUCUUCAUGACUAUGAAAUCAGUUGGAACUAUGCACUCACCAACCUUCAAAGGAUAGUUCUCUAUCAGCCCAUGAGGUUUCUUUGAGUAAGCGCCAAAAGUGAUGGAAGAAGGAUAUUCCUUUAAGUUCUUGAUCCCAAGUCUCUCCAUCAUGCUAAGAGACAUCACAUUUACACUUGAGCCUGAAUCACACAAGGCAUUCUCAACUCUGAACUUCCCAAGAGUGCAAGAGAUUGUAAAUUUCCCUGGAUUACCCAGCUUUGGGAGUGAUGUAGGCUUCACACUUGGUGAAUCUAGGCUGGAGACAUCAUCCCGUGGCUGUACUUGAGCAACCGGCUGGUCCCUUGCUUCAGCAUCCCCUGAAUUGUUCCAUUUCUCAACAAAAUCUUUCCAAUGCUGCAAAUAACAAACUGAACAGGGCGCCCCUCCACCUUCUUUUGUAAUGUCCUCAUUGAGAUCAGGUAACAAGCUCAUAAAGUCCUCUAUAAUGGAGUCGUCUUCCUCUUUAUUAGGACUGGACCCAUCAGAGACUUGACCAUAAAGAAGGUAUUCAAUCUCUUGAACAGCAGCUGAAUGAUCAUCGCUUGAGUAGAUGGCAUUGCAAUAAUCUUUGGGGUAUUGAACAGCUUUACCAGCAAGAGAGACUUGAGUUUCUGAAGUGCAGAUGCCCUUGUUCUUUCUAAGAAUCUUAAGUUCAGAGUCUAAUGUCUCCAUCUUAGAAUUCAGGUCAAGACACUUGGAAUCAAGCUUUUGUUGUCCUUGUAAGAUCUGUUGGAGAACAAUGCCAAUAUCAGGACCUUGCUGUGGCAUAGAACCCUGCUGAAACUGUCGCUGACCGAAUCCAAGAGGUGGAGGCCCUUGUUGCUGAAAGCUGACUUGGUUUGUGAAGCUGUUCCCUUGUGCCUGAACCGGUUGUGGCUGAUAAGAUUGUUGACCUUGGUACUGAUUCUUUUGAACAAAGCCUUGAGGAGGGUACCCUUGAAACUUAUUCUGGUUCCCAAUGAAGUGUAACUCCUCUUGAGCAAUACCAGGUUCAUUGACAUUAGUAAAACAACUCCUCUCUUCAGCUACAUAGUGUAUAGGUUGCUGAGUGACCUUUACCAGCUUUGCAAACUUAACUUUCAACUCCUCUAGGGUAUUUUCCAGCUCUUGUUGUUUACUAGAACCUUCUCCUCUAUAGCACCGGUCAUAGUCUUCCCCAUAAGUGUCUUGGCUCAUGGCUAGGUUCUCAACAAGUUCCAUAGCUGCAGUGAUUUCUUUUGCCAAGAAAUUCCCAUUUGAUGCUGUGUCCAGCUGAGUUCUGAUCUUGGGAACUACUCCUCUAUACAAAGUGCUAAGGAGAGAGGCUUCUGAAAAGCCAUGAUGUGGGCACUGAGUUGUAUAGCUCCUAAACCUGUCCCAAGCUUCUCCAAAGGUCUCAUUAGAAUGCUGAGUGAAGCUUGAAAUCUUGGUCCUUAGCCUGGCGGUUCUAGCAGUGGAGAAGAACUUAGAUAAGAAUGCUAACUUGCAUUGUUCCCAAGUUUGUAUUGAACCGCUAGGUAGGUUCUUCUCCCAUUGGUGUGCCUUGUCUCCUAAACUGAAUGGGAACAACCUGAGCUUGAAACUGUCUUCAGAGACACCACUGAUCUUUGUGAGAUCACAAACUCUAUCAAAGUGAUCCAAAUGCUCCAAAGGAUCCUCAUUUGGCAGCCCAUAGAACUUAGAGUUCUGCACCAUGUUGAGCAUAGAGGCUUUCACUUCAAAAUUUGUGUUCAGAACUGGAGGAGCUUGAAUGCCAGCUCUGUAUUGGUGUGUAUUGGCUCGGUCAUUGUCUCCUACAUAGACCAGUGGAGGCUCUUGACGCCAGGGUGGGUUUGGGAAGGGUUGCGGUUGAUUAACCUGAGGCCGGUCUUGGUUUUGAUUACCAUGAGCUGGUCCCUGAUAGACCUAACCGUGUGGAACCUGAUUUUUGUUCCCAUUAGUUCCAAUACCAGCUCCUUGACCGUGAGCAGCUUCUUGAGCCUGGUGCUCAAUCCCAACUUGCUGAUCGAUUCCCAAUCUCUCCAAAUGAGCAGCUCUUUCUCUUUGUCUUCUAAGAUGACCUCUUGUGAUCAUACACCUGAAAACAAAGACAGAACUUGAAAGGGAAUCAGUAAAACAAACUAAACUUGAUCUCAAAAACUAUAUCAGAAACUAAUGCUAACUAGCCCCACACAAUAUGGCAACGGCGCCAAUUGAUAACUAAAAGUUUUGAGGCUCUUAGAAGGGUUAUCAAUCCCCUUGUCAAAGUAGUAUAAGGGGUGUCAAUCCAUAUGUGUGGUAGUUAGGCACUAGUUUAUAAGAUAAGUUCUUAAGUCAAGUUAAUCAAAGACAGGUUUUUGGUAACAAGUAACAAGUGAAAAUAUAAACAAGAAACAAACAAGCAAUGAUAAGGAAGUAAACAAAGCAAGCUAAACAAGAUGAUGGUGAUUAAGCAAAUGAUAAAAGCUAAACCUCUAGAUGUGAUCAUUGAUUAGGGUGCUUUAGAUAUCAAUUCAUGAUGCUAAGAACAAAAUGCAAUGCUUGUUACUCUUUAGUCUAGACUUCAAAAGCAGAUUAAUUCAUUCCCAUGACAAUAAUCUCUUUGCAAACCACUUAAUCAAGAUUAAUUCACCUUAAGCAAGAUCAAGCAAUCAACAAGCAUAAAGUAUCAAGUCUAAAAAUGACCAAACGGUUUCUAUUUCAAAGAGACCGAAUCUUACACAGAAAGCAGCAACAAGCAAUCACAUGAUCUCAAAACCAAUUAACUUAGAACUCAAAUCUAGACUGAUCCUCUCAUGAAGGCAUUAAUCUCUACACUAAUCCACUUUCAAACCAAAUCAUCAUUUGUGAAAUAUGAAUCAGUGAGCAUUAAGAAACAGUUCUAAUAUGUCAUUCAUGCAUUUAACAAAUCAUUCCCAUGAUGAAAAAGGCAUAAACCCUUAGCUUAGUUCAUUCAGACAUUUCAUCAAACACCUUGUGGGUGGAGAAAUGACUAAGGUCUAGAUCAGAGUGAUGUGCAAAGAUCUAGCAUUAAGAGCAGCUAACUAAGGAAAGGAGAUGAGAAUCUAGAACCUAAACAUCAUAAACUGAUCAUCUAAGCACCCUAAUCUAUACACCUAGAAGCUUAAAAGAUGACUACUCACUAAUCAUGAUUAACACACCAUUUCCUUUGCAAGAGGUGGUGUUAAUCAUGAUUAGAAGCAGAGAUGAGAUGAUGAGAUGAUAAGAAACAGCUUUGGAAUGAUCAAAUCCCUUAGAUAUCUCUUAAUCAAACUCGUUUUUACACUAAGAAGCAGAGAGAAAAACAAAAAGAAAGCAGACUAGAGGAUAAGAUAAAGCAUAAGAUAAAGCAUAACUAGGGUUUUAGUCUCUUAAAACUAUUUAUGUAAAAGGGUGUGGGCCGGGUCAGCCCAGGACAAACUGGGUACUGACCCGCCCUUUCUGGGUUGCUGGAGCCACCCCUCGCCAUCUGAAGAAGUCUCACACCGAGGGCCACACACCAGGGGAUCAUGUGCUGGGUUGAGACUUUGAUGAACACUUGAAGAACAUGCAUGAGACUUGGCCUUAGAUCCGGUUAAAGCUUUGAAACGUGAAGAGGAUUUCUUUGUGAUCUGGGUUGGAGAGAUGAGGACCUCGGCAUAACAUGCCGAGGGGCUUGGUACCCGAGGUUUGUGUAACAUGGGAGCUCGGCAUAACAUGCUGAAGGGUUCACACCAAGAUCUGCUUCAACACUUAGUCGUUUUGGGAUCAUUUUGGUGAUCAAGGGAGCCUUGGUGUUGAAAGAUCGAAGUCCUACCUCGAGGUAUAGUCUCAAAGCUUCGUAAACAUGCCUCCUCGGCAUACAUGCCGAGGUAUUCACGCCGAGGUAGGACACAACACUUAGCUUACAGUCGCAUCUCUUAAAACCCGAAUUGACCAGCUUCUCUUCUGUUCAGUGUAACUUUCAGCUCAUAACUCCAAAUGACCUAACACCAGUUCCAUGAGAAAGAUAACUCAUUCAGCUCAAUCUUUGGUGAAGAAACUAUCGGCGCUUGGGAAGUGGAAGGCUUCCUGGAGGGCUCAUCUUCGCAGUGCAUUUACACGAUCAGAGAGAGGCGUCUAGACAUGUGUUCAUUCCGGAAACGUUAACUUCUUUCUCAUAGAUCCAAAUUGAAUGAUCUUGGACUUUCUGGAAAGAGGACUCAAAUAUCUCUGAUUCUCAUGAAGGCCUCGUAAACCGAAUCGGCCUGGAAGUGCGCCGUCUUUCGCAUUCUUCGGAGCUCAUCGGGUCGGUCCAAGACGGCAGCGAGACAGGGGUUUCUUCCGACGAGCUCAACUUUCUGCUCACGCGUCCGAAUUCCAUUAUUCCACUUGCUAUGGAACCAUGAUCCAAUCAUCUCCAAUUUUGAUGAAGCUCUCGAUAACUGAAUCGGACCGGAAGGUUCCCCGGAGAGGCGAUUAUUCAGGAGUGUCGGAUUGCUCCGGAAUGGAUGCGAGAGAGGUCUGUCUUCCGAAUACCAUAUCUUUCAGAUCGGUGGUCCAAAUGCUUUGAUUCUAACUGUUCUGAACUCUGGACUCAAUUUUCUCCAACCGUUAUGAAGACUCGGACAGCUUAAUCGGACGGCAAGACCUUCCGGUAACGUGAUUUCCGAGAUGUAUCUGCACUCGAGAUUUUUGGCCGAGAAACUUAACCGCGACACGUGUUUUUGGCCGAGAGUUCUACCCGCGGGAAGGAUUUUGGCCGAGAACCUUCGACCUUCAGUACACCAUUUUGCCGAGAAACCCAAAAUUGCUCCUUUUUCACCAUUUUUGAUCAUUCCAUCUCCAUUUCUUCAUCUGAAUCACAUCCUCCACUCCAAAUUGGCUCCAAAAGCACCUGUUUAACACUCCAAACCAUGCAAAACUCUCUUGGACCUAAUGCAUUCUUCUAAGUCCUAAAACAAUGCCUAAAAACCUAAAAUGCAUGCAGAUGAAACAUGAUUUGGACUAAAAUAUGUACACUAAAUGAUGCAAUUUAUGAAUAUAUCAACUCCCCCACACUUAUCCUUUGCUUGUCCUCAAGCAAAAAGAACAAAUGAGAGAGAGAGGUUGAAUGCAUUGGGAGUUCAUAUUUCCUUUUAGAGAGAAGUGAUCACAAUGAGAAUUCAAGUUCAUGCUCAAUUAUGCAAUGCAAAGCCAUACUCAGAUAUAUAUCAACUCAACAAGGAAUCUCCACAAGUUCUCCUCUCUCUCAACUCUUUCACAUUCAUUAAGCUUUUAUCAAGUGAAUCAAAUGAUGAAAUGUUUAAACAAGCUGGCUUGGCUAGGGAGAGGCUAUGAGAUUAAAAUGAUCUCAUCAGUGUUCAAGCGGGUUUAAUGCAGCAAAAGGAUCUCUCUAUGAAUGAUCAAACUUUGGCAGAAUGCUAAAGGUAAAAAGCAACCUAUGCAUACAAGGGCAAAGACUCAUCACACCCCACACUCUACUCAAAGCUUUCUCACUUUCUCACUCUCUCAAGAACCUCACUUUCCACACUCAUUUUCCUCUUCACUAGGGGACUUACUUUUCAUUUUCACUCUCAAGUCUUGGAGUUCAAACUUUACACAGCUCUUUUUCUUUUGAAACCUCUAGCCUCUUUUUCUUUCUUUUCAAAACAUUUGAGCUCUUUGACUUCUUUUCUUUUCCUUUUACUUAGAGGCUAGACUCUUUCUUUUCAAGACACCAGAGCUCACUUUCUUUAACUCAAAACUCCAAGACCGAUUUCCUUUUCUUUCAUUCCCCUAGCUAUUUCCACUUUCUCUUUUCCACUCAUCUCACCUUUUUCCACUCACCAACAAGUCUUUUUCCCCCACACUUAUUCCUCGCCAACACUCUCAGUUCCUUGAUGUUGGAACACAGCACUCAAUGAGACCUGCCCUUGUUGCUCUAAACCUAACACUUUCUGCUAAGUUUGAUCUAAGGUGGCCUUUCAAUUCACACACAAAAAAUUGGCUUGAAAGAAGGAUGGGUUCAAGGUGAGGGAACUGAUCCAUGAUGUGGAUUCAGCUACUUGAGCUAAGGAAAAAGGGCGGUAAAACCAAUGGUUCUAGCUCAAGUAUGUAUGUCGGUAUCCACAAGCUUAUUCAAACAAUGCAUCACAAGAUAUUUUCAAGUCAAGUUCAAGGUUCUCACUUAAUUAGAGUUGAGUUCAAUUCAUGGUCUGAGAAGGGAUUGUACUUGGACACAAAAUAUCUGGGAAGGAUAUUGAAGUUGAUAAAGCGAAAUUUGAAGUCAUGACUAGCCUGCAACCUCCAAUUAAUGUUAAAUGCAUCCAAAGUUUCUUGGGACAUGCCGGAUUUUAUAGGCGAUUCAUAAAAGGCUUCUCUGAAAUUGCUAGACCUCUUACACGUUUGAUAUGCAAAGAAACAAACUUCGAGUUCGAUGAUGAAUGCUUAGCAGCGUUCCAUAAGAUCAAAAAUGCUCUUGUUUCUGCUCCAGUUGUGCAGCCACCCGAUUGGGAACAUCCAUUCGAAAUCAUGUGUGAUGCAAGUUAUUUUGCUGUCGGAGCUGUGCUCGGUCAGCGGAAAGAAAAGAAACUACAUGCAAUCUUGGAUGAAUCUUAAUGUAAUUAUGCGACUACGGAGAAGGAGCUUUUAGCUGUCAUUUUUGCAUUUGAAAAGUUUCAAUCUUAUCUCGUCGGGUCUAAGGUCAUCGUUCAUACCGACCAUGCUGCAAUCAAGUAUCUCAUGUCUAAGAAAGAUGCCAAACCAAGGCUGAUCAGAUGGAUACUCCUGCUGCAAGAGUUUGAUAUUGAAAUUCGAGAUCGGAAAGGAGCAGAUAAUGGAGUAGCAGAUCAUCUUCUAGAAUUCGAGGGGAAGAGAAACUUUCUUUGAAUGAUAGUUUGCCAGAAGAAAAUGUCUACGCUAUGGAUACUAUACCUAUUACCGUGCAAGAAAAGCUAUCCCAACCUCCUAUACGACGGUCAGAUGCUUUUGACACCCCAUGGUUUAGGCACAUAGCGAACUAUUUAGUUGCAGACAUUAAACCUCUACAAUUUUUCGGCUAUAGAAAGAAGAAAUUUUUGAGGGAAGUUCGGCACUAUUUCUGGGAUGAACCUUUUUCUCUAUUAGAGAUGUGUAGAUGGUUUAUUCAGAAGAUGUGUUGCCGAAGAAGAAAUAGAAGGAAUACUGUUUGGAUGCUAUGGUUCAGCAUAUACAUGACUUUUUGAAACCUAUAAAACAGUUUCCAAGAUCCUUAAGCAGGUAUUUGGUGGCCUACUAUGUUCAAAGACACUCAAGCCUACAUCCCACGUUGUGAUUCAUGCCAACGAAUGGGCAAUAUCAGUAAGAGGAAUGAGAUGCCUCAGAACUAUAUUCUCGAAGUCGAAAUCUUUGAUGUAUGGGGAACUGAUUUCAUGGGAUCUUUCCCAACUUCUUUUGGAAACCAAUAUAUCUUAGUAGCGGUAGACUAUGUGAUGCGGUGGUGUGCUGAGUGUCAACUACGUGAGGGAACAAGUUUUACCCUUAACAAAACAAAAGAAAGCCGCAAGUGCACAGCUAAUCAGUUGCAGUAUUUAGGGAUCGAAUCCACAGAGAUUUGUGUGCCUGGUAUUCUUCUACGGUUUUUAACUUUAUGUCUAGACUAAAUUGGUUUUAAAGGUUGGUUGUUUUUCUUGAAUUAAACUAAAGCAAAAUAAAGCAAAUAAAUCUAUCCUAAAAGGCAAGUAAAGAAAUCGAAUGAAAGGCAGUAGAACAAGUAAAAUAUCGAACUAAACAAAGAUAAGGCAAGUAAAAUAUCGCAUGAAAGGUAAAUAAAGCAAGUAAAUAACGAACUAAGGAAAUUGAAAUGCAGGUCUAAGAAAAGCAAGUAAAAAUCGAUGAAAUUGUAAACUAUUGAUAAAAACGCUGAGCUUUUGGGAACUCUAAGGGAUCAUAAUCGGUUUUAACAAUAAGGUAGAUAGAUUGGGAUUGACGGAUAACAAUAUAUGGGUUCUAGAGCUAGAGUACGGCGGUAUGACUACGUCACUGUUGAUCAUAACCAACUGUUUCUCGCAACCCUGACCAGUAGGUUUCCACUCUGGCCCUGGAAGGGAGAGAACGCAAGAGCUGCAUAAGACUCGUCAAUACUCACGAUCUCGCCGCAGGUAGGUUUCCACUCCUACGGAAAAAUCGCCUGUUUCAUUCUAGGGCUGAUACUUAAUGAAAACUUUCGCAACACUAACUAUCUAGAUCAGAUACUAGGUGAUCAAUCAAGCAUACAUGCAAUAAGAACAAGAAUAAACAGAGAACAGGUCGAAAUCCCAGAUCUAUAAACCUAGAUGUCUUAAUCGAUUAUGAGAGCCCCUUUCGGGAACCCUAAGCCCAACUCGGGAUCUACUCAGACAUGGCUGAGUUCGACAUCAUCAUUGGUUUUAAUAAAAGUAAUGAAAAACAGUAAAGAAAAGAGAUAAAGAAAGCUUCUCUAUUGAAGAACUCGGACUUGAACAAUCUUCUACAAAAAUCUCAUAAAAACGGCUAAAGGAAAAAGGGUUUCUGUAAAGUAUCAAAAGCUCUCCUAAAAACGACCUAAAUGACAUGUAUUUAUAGUCUCAAAUACUCCAUGGUCUCUAGGUUUCCGGAAUUGAGGCUGGGAAUGACUUUGGGCUUCAGAUAAGUGGGCUUUAAGUCGGAGCUUGAAUGCCGUGGUCGGGAGUGCUGUGACCGCGGCAAUUGGCUUGUUUCCCGCGGUCGGGAAGCUUCUGACCGCGGCAAAUAGCUUGUUGGCCGCGGUCGCGUGAGCUGCUGGCCGACUCCGCGUGGCUUCGGGGCUAAUGGAAUAUCUUGAGAUCCAACCGUUGGAAUGUAUCCAAACAAAGUGCAUUUGAAAGCUGGUUGAUUCUUCUAUAAGUUGUCCAAUUUUGAGGGUGAUCAGACGGUGAGAAGGUCUUCGUCUCUCCAUGAGAGUUCUGACGUCUGCAUUUAUCCAAAAGAGUCUUUUGUUCCAUUUUAUGCCUCUUUAUCCCAAAUUACCUGAAAAGUCUUUUAAAAUCCGGAAACAUAGAAAUCCUUUGAAAACCUUUGAAAAUGGAGUAAAAACACCUGUAAAAGAUAUUAAAAUGAUCCAUAAAAAUGGUCAAAAUCCGGUGUUAUCAACUCCCCCAGACUUAGUCUUUUGUUUGUCCUCAAACAAAACAAAGGCUAAAUCUCGGCGAGAGGUUUGAAAACGCAGGAACUAAACAAAAUCUCAGAGACCAAACUUCUAGACCAAUAUCAAUCAGUAUGCAUCAAUCGGGAAUAGCCUAGAAAAUUCUCACUAGCAAUACAGGCAUAACUAGUCCGUUAAUCCAUCAUGCAGAAAUCUAUGCACUAAGAUCUAACUUCCAGUCAACUAGCUCUUAACAUUCAUUAAAAAUCUCGGUGGUUCUCAUCAUAGAAAAUCUAGGCAAGGCAAUCUAGGCUAGGUUUAAAGAAGGAUUAUUUUGGGGGUAUGGCUUAAAGUGUUUAAGGGUUACCUGAAGAUCUGGAGGGUGCAGGACAUUAUGCAAAACCGCAAGAGAGAGUGAAGCUGUUGGUAUCCACAGUUUUCAGUCACUUUUUCUUGACAUAGAUUCAUGGUCUUGUUCCUCAGGUUCUCUCCAAACUCCCCCAGACUUAGAUUUUUGUAAAUCUUUCAAAAAAAUAGCUCCUUAAACGAAUAGUGGUUGCUCAUUGCUCCAUAAAUUUCGACAAUCUAAGACUCAUUAGGCUUUUUGUUUCCCUUUCUCUUUUCACGUUUUUUUUUUUUUUUUUUUUAGAGAAAAGGGAACACCUUUAGAUAUAGUCUUAGAGAGCACGAAUUUACCAGUUAAUAUCUGUCUUGUAAAGCUUUAUUAUGUUUCUGAUACUCUUCCUUCCCAAUUCCAUUCAGUCUCUUUUGUGAGUGACUGAAAACUGCGUCGCUCCUCUUCUCUCCGACGUUUUUGCACAUAUCUGCUGAUAUAAACUAAAGAGAGAAUGCAUGAGGAUUGAAAACAAAGGUUUUGGAUAUAGGGUAAGGUACCAGAUAAAGAUAAACUGGUCAUCUAGGACGACAAAGAGUGGUAAAAGUGAUGGUAAAAGACGUCAUAGAUGUGUAUGUCGAUGCCUGCCUAAAAUCAAUGAUGAGAAAAUUAGAUAUCAAUAUUAAGUCCAGAUAUAGUGAGCUAGUAUAUCCUGUCAGAAAGAAUCUCCAUGAAUAGAAGUCCUCUGGUGGGAGUUCGUAGUGCAAGUACUCUAGCUACCGCCUAGUCUAGUGCUAACCACAAAUGAGCUAUCAUGCAUAGUGUAGAAGUGUGCAGGUCUAAAUCAUCAAACAUUCCUGAAAAAUACUUAAUGUCGAAUAGGUUACAUAUUAAAAUUUAAAAAGUACUUGAAAUUUAAAAGCAAAAGCAGGAAAAUAAUUAGUACGGAUAGACAUCCUCCCCCAGACUUAAAUCACACUGUCCCCAGUGUGAAAAAGUUGGUGAGAAGAUGGUGAAUAAAAGCAAAAUAAGAUAAAAUAAGAUAAAAGAAAAGAAAAUGAUGAUAGAACCGUGAUGGUAGUGAAGUGCUGGUCAAUCACUCAUCCUCUGAAGUGUCGUCUGUGAAUUGGUGCUGCUCCUAUAAGAAGGUGACAACGCGCUCAAAGCGUCGUCCCUGUCUCUCAACUCUGCGCUCCAGAUCGGAAUGAGUGUGUGAUGAUAUAGAUGAUGAGGCGUGGCCGGUCGGAAUGGAUGGCUGAAAAUGAGCACGGGCCGCAGCUGCAUCACGCCUCGCCUUGGCCACUAUGUACUGGCCAAUGGUGAAUGGUAAUCGAGGUACAGAUGGCAGAAAAUCAUCGGAUUCCGGAGUCCAUCGAGGGCGUCCUCCAUUGCACAAUCUCGGGAUAGAUGAUGAAGGUAAGCGGACUCGGUGCUCCUCAGUGCCAGUGCAAUAUUUGUAACUAAACCUGUCUGGAUCGAAAUCGGCGCGAGAGUUAGUGUGAUCGCGAGAGAGAUAAAGUAGAUCAUACCAGACAUCGGGAAGUGGAUCAUCAGAUGAGAAAUCGAAUCCUACAGCCUGUAGUAUCGCUGUAAUAGCACUCCCGAAGGCUGGAGUAGCGUCGUCGCAACCAUGUAAAUCAUGCUUCACCUUUACCAUAUUCUGCGAUAUGAUCCAGGCAAAGCAGGCAAGUCGUGGGUUAUCCAUAAACGGAAUCUGAAGUGUAAUGAGCUCAGUCUUCAAGACACCUUCCAUGUUGGCUCUAGAGAAAAUCGUGUGUGCUAAGAGUUUGUGCACAACUCUCACUGCUGGGUGGCUAAGAAGGGCUGACUUAGAUCUCCCACUAUCAUAGGUUCCAUGACCCAUCUCCCUCCACAGGUUAAGAUCAGGUUCAUCUUCAAGAUAAAUGCCAUCAGUGUAUGGAAGCUUAAGAGCUUCACAAACCUCGGAAAUGGUGAGAGAAUAAGGCUGUCCGCGGAUAGAGAAUGACAAGAUGCCAUCUGAUGCUCUUGGGUUCCUCCUCUUCGUGUGGUGGAGUGUAACGGUCGCUAAAAGCUCACGGACUAGCUCAGGAUAAGUCGGAAGGUUCAGCUCCAAGUAGGGUCUCAGCUUAAGUGCAUCGAUGUACCAGAUCACAUCCUCUCUGAUUCCAAGCAUCUCGAGUGUAUGAUAAUCAAUGCAAGGCGUGGGUUUGAUGUUCAGCUUCUUGAAACGCCUUGCAUAGUCCACUCUCGGGUUUUUCUCCCUCCCAAUGUAUCGAAUCUGUGUUGGUUCGGGAGGUGCUCGUGUUUCCCUCGAGUGCUGGAGCAAUCUCAUCACAUAGCUUCUUCUUCUCGGUCUGGCUUGGUUCAGCAUGUACUCUCCUAGAGUAGCAUCGUCAGGAAUGUCAUCGGAGCUGCCACCAGUUUGACGGCUCCUUCGGGAUCUGGUUUCAUCCAUUUUCUGCAAAAUGAAAUGAUUCUUGGAAAAAGAGUGAAUUUGGGUGCUAAUUUUAACAAAUUAAGAUCUGUUAUACUAAUACUAGUAUAAAGAGAUUAAUUAAAAUUAUUAGCAAACAAAAUUGAUAUUAAAUCAGAGAAAUCAAGUAGUUCAUGACUAAAUUCGGAUUUUUGAUGUCCUCAACAUAGAAAUCUUCUAAAAAUCGGUUUUUAUGAGCAAUUUCCAUGUGAAUUCUAAAGAUUACCCAAUACUAAUCACUAAUCACACAAGACUAAAUCAAAUUCAUCAAUUUUGCUGUUCCAAAUUCGAUUUUUAUGAAGCAUGAAGAAUCCAAAUUUCAAAAAUCUCAAUUCCUCUUAAGCUAGGUGCUAAAAUCUAUUUUUAGAUAACCUAAAUGGAUAAUCUAUCAUCCUUAAACUAUUUCCACCAUCAAUAGACCAAGAUUUUGGGUUUUUAAAGAAAACCCUAAGUUCAAAAUCGAGUAAGAAUGGUGAGUUUGAGGUCGAUACCUUGCUGGAAGAGAGAAUUGAUGGCAGAAUUGAAAUCAGCUUCGAAAAAGAGUGAGGUUUGAGCCAAAAAUCUCUUAAAAAGCUUAAAAAUUGAAAAAUGUGUUCUUUCUCCUAAAUCUCUAAGUCUUUUGGAGAAGAAGAGAAGAAAGAGUUUUGAUCCAAAAAGUUUGUUUCUUUUCUUUAAAAAGCGUUUUUGAAGCAAAAACUUUUGAAGCAAAAACGGAAAAUUUCUGGAAAUUUUUAAAUUUACGGGAACUUACCUUUUCUUGUUUGCACAGUAGGAAAGUUUAAAACUUACGGAGGAUCUUUUCGGGUUUUACCGGGAACAUUUCGGGAAACACCGGGAAUCACCGGGAAAUACCGAAAAACGGCAGAAAUCCGCGGAAUCAUCUCAACGACCAAUGGCCGCGGUCAGGAGACGCGCGACCGCGGUGGAUGAGGGCUCGACCGCGGUCGCAUUCACGGUGCCGCGCUCGAUGCACCUUUUGCCGCGGUCCCGUCAGUUGCGACCGCGGGUCUUCCUCCUGCGGCCUAUUGUCCAAUCUUCUCGUCUUUGCUGAGCCGAACAGCUAAAGACCUACCUUUUUCUCUUUGGUUUUUCUAAUUUUCUGAUUUUUUGUGUUUUUGUUUUAUAAAAUACCUAAAACUUAAAAAGAAAAAGAAAGCAUAAAUUCUAAAAUGGAAAAGAAAACUAAAAGAAAGAGUACCUAAAUGAGUUGCCUCCCAUUAAGCGCUUUUGUUUUAAGUCGUUUAGCUCGACGUAAGCAUGAAGAAUCAGGCUGAUUUGAAUGGCACUCCACUUGAUGUGCCAUUAUCACUUCCGGUUGGUGGAGGUUUUACUUCUUCCCCUUGAAGAGAAGUCUUCUUACCUUUAAUCUUCUUUCGGACCUUAAUGUUGUUCAGAACCCUUUUUGUGUUUUCGAUCAGCUCCUGGAUUUGGUCUUCACUAGUUUCUGAUGCAUCUGGUGGAAUGAUGAUUUUGAUCUUUGCAAAAGCUUUCGGCUUCUCCUUUUCUUUCUCUUUUGGCCUGUUUCCUCUGCUUGGAAAUUCAUCUAAGAUAGUAGGAUAGUACCUUUUUCUGUCCACAUUGAGGAAAACAGCACGCCGGUUUGCGUGAUCGAUUAUUGCUCCUACCGUAGCUAGGAAUGGCCUCUCGAAAAUGAGUGGCCUCUCCUUGUCUUUAUCCAUCUCCAGGACUUGGAAAUCUGCUGGAACAAUCUUAUCUCCCACUAGAACUUGUAGGUCAUGAAUCGCCCCUUCAGUAUCUUUUUGAGAUGAAUCUCCAAAGAUAACCUUAACCGUCGAUGUCCUUAAGGUUUUUAUGCCCAAUUUUUCGGCAAAUGUCUUAGAAAUGAUGUUGACAUUGGCUCCGGAAUCGCACAAGCAGUCUGUAAACUUGAUUCCUGAAAUGAAACACUGGAAAACAAAACGUCCCGGAUCAUCGGCUUUGGUAAGCCUUUGAAACGGUGAUCGUUCGGGUACCUUAAACGGUGGCUGCUUGGGAUCGAUAUCCUUGUACAGUGGUACAAAGAUCGGGAUUUCUUCUUCCUUUCCAUCGGUUCUGGACUCUUCUUCCC